AUUGAACGCUGGCGGCAGGCCUAACACAUGCAAGUCGAACGAGUGGCGGACGGGUGAGUAAUGUAUGGGAAACUGCCUGAUGGAGGGGGAUAACUACUGGAAACGGUGGCUAAUACCGCAUACCAUCAGAUGUGCCCAUAUGGGAUUAGCUAGUUGGUGGGGUAAAGGCUCACCAAGGCGACGAUCCCUAGCUGGUAUGAGAGGAUGACCAGCCACACUGGAACUGAGACACGGUCCAGACUCCUACGGGAGGCAGCAGUGGGGAAUAUUGCACAAGGGGCGCAAGCCUGAUGCAGCCAGGCCGCGUGGAUGAAGAAGGCCUUCGGGUUGUAAAGUACUUUCAGCGGGGAGGCGUUACCCGCAGAAGAAGCACCGGCUAACUACGUGCCAGCAGCCGCGGUAAUAC
rnacentral:rRNA from 1 species